ACUUGAGCUCUGGCACCACGUUGUCAAGCGUAUUGAUAUCUGUCACCUGACUCUUUGAGAAGGGAAAAUAAGAAGCCUCAUUACGUUCUCUGACUGAUUACCUCCACCAAAAUGUUCUGGGGACUGAGUUUUUGGUUGUAUACCUGAGCGUUCCCGUAAACCCAGGGUGCUGUGUG